UUAUAUCAACUGUCUUGUUUUGUUUAGUGACAUACAGUUAGGCUUUUAUUACUUGCUAUUAUCAUUUUCAAGACAGAUGGAAAUAAGUUGUGAAAUUGCAACAAUAAGGAAACUCCCCUGCCUGCCAGUGGUUGGAUAUUCAGUACAGACUACAAAGACAUAACAUUAAAUCAGUAAAACAUGAAAGACAGUUGAUAAUAAACUGGAUUAUUU